GGCGGCGUAGCUCAGUGGUCAGAGCGAGGGACUCAUAAGCCCUAGGUCGCAGGUUCAAAUCCUGCCGCCGUCACCA
rnacentral:tRNA from 1 species